UNUUACCAGAAAGGGACGGCUAACUACGUNCCAGCAGCCGCGGUAAUACGUAGNUCCCGAGCGUUGUCCGGAUUUAUUGGGCGUAAAGCGAGCGCAGGCGGUUAGAUAAGUCUGAAGUUAAAGGCUGUGGCUUAACCAUAGUACGCUUUGGAAACUGUUUAACUUGAGUGCAGAAGGGGAGAGUGGAAUUCCAUGUGUAGCGGUGAAAUGCGUAGAUAUAUGGAGGAACACCGGUGGCGAAAGCGGCUCUCUGGUCUGUAACUGACGCUGAGGCUCGAAAGCGUGGGGAGCGAACAGGAUUAGAUACCCUGGUAGUNCACGCCGUAAACGAUGAGUGCUAGGUGUUAGGCCCUUUCCGGGGCUUAGUGCCGCAGCUAACGCAUUAAGCACUCCGCCUGGGGAGUACGACCGCAAGGUUGAAACUCAAAGGAAUUGACGGGGGCCCGCACAAGCGGUGGAGCAUGUGGUUUAAUUCGAAGCAACGCGAAGAACCUUACCAGGUCUUGACAUCCCGAUGCCCGCUCUAGAGAUAGAGUUUUACUUCGGUACAUCGGUGACAGGUGGUGCAUGGUUGUCGUCAGCUCGUGUCGUGAGAUGUUGGGUUAAGUCCGCAACGAGCGCAACCCUUAUUGUUAGUUGCCAUCAUUCAGUUGGGCACUCUAGCGGGACUGCCGGUAAUAAACCGGAGGAAGGUGGGGAUGACGUCAAAUCAUCAUGCCCCUUAUGACCUGGGCUACACACGUGCUACAAUGGCUGGUACAACGAGUCGCAAGUCGGUGACGGCAAGCUAAUCUCUUAAAGCCAGUCUCAGUUCGGAUUGUAGGCUGCAACUCGCCUACAUGAAGUCGGAAUCGCUAGUAAUCGCGGAUCAGCACGCCGCGGUGAAUACGUUCCCGGGCCUUGUACACACCGCCCGUCACACCACGAGAGUUUGUAACACCCGAAGUCGGUGAGGUAACCUUUUAGG
rnacentral:rRNA from 1 species